rnacentral:rRNA from 1 species
UGGUGGAGUGAUUUGUCUGGUUAAUUCCGUUAACGAACGAGACCUCGACCUGCUAAAUAGUUUGGUGAAUUCUCCGGGAUUCAUUUACGACUUCUUAGAGGGACUAUCGGUGAUUUAGCCGAUGGAAGUUCGAGGCAAUAACA